GCCAACACACAAGUAUAAGAGGUCCAGCCUGCCCAGUGACAAAUUGUUCAACGGCCGCGGUAUUCUGACCGUGCAAAGGUAGCGUAAUCACUUGUCUUUUAAAUAAAGACUGGUAUGAAAGGCACCACGAAGAUUCAACUGUCUCUCUUAUCCUGUCAGUGAAACUGAUCCCCCCGUGCAGAAGCGGGGAUACACGCACAAGACGAGAAGACCCCAUGGAGCUUAAAACACAAGCAACUGCUCUCUAACCGCCAUCAAAAGAUUAAAUUUUUAACUAAGCAGAAAUGACCCAAUGUUUUCGGUUGGGGCGACCACGGAGAAUAAGAUAUCCUCCGCGAAAAGGGGGCACACCCCCUAAAACGAACGACAGUUCUAAACAUCAGAACAUCUGACCUUUUUGAUCCAGUAUGACUGAUCAACGAACCAAGUUACCCUGGGGAUAACAGCGCAAUCUACUUAAAAAGUUCAUAUCGACAAGUAGGUUUACGACCUCGAUGUUGGAUCAGGGCACCCCAGUGGUGCAGCCGCUACU
rnacentral:rRNA from 1 species